AACGAACGCUGGCGGCAGGCUUAACACAUGCAAGUCGAGCGCCCCGCAAGGGGAGCGGCAGACGGGUGAGUAACGCGUGGGAAUCUACCCAUCCCUACGGAACAACUCCGGGAAACUGGAGCUAAUACCGUAUACGCCCUUCGGGGGAAAGAUUUAUCGGGGAUGGAUGAGCCCGCGUUGGAUUAGCUAGUUGGUGGGGUAAUGGCCUACCAAGGCGACGAUCCAUAGCUGGUCUGAGAGGAUGAUCAGCCACACUGGGACUGAGACACGGCCCAGACUCCUACGGGAGGCAGCAGUGGGGAAUAUUGGACAAUGGGCGCAAGCCUGAUCCAGCCAUGCCGCGUGAGUGAUGAAGGCCCUAGGGUUGUAAAGCUCUUUCAACGGUGAAGAUAAUGACGGUAACCGUAGAAGAAGCCCCGGCUAACUUCGUGCCAGCCGCCGCGGUAAUAC
rnacentral:rRNA from 1 species